CCUUGGCCGAACCCACUCCACCUGUGGAAGCACACACUUAGAGGAGGUCUGAGGGUGCUCUCUGGGCAGCCCCAUGUGCCCACCCACCCCUCACUCCAUCUCCUUCCACCCAGAUGGUGCCCAGUGCUGGUCAUGCCAGGCCCUGUGUAUUGCUGUGAGCUUAGUCCUGCCCACUAGAAGUGCUCAGUCAGGAAACAGGAAUGUAUAACAGCAUUUCCGACUGGCUGUGGUGGGCCCCUCCUUCUGCCUUGUGAUUCCACCUAGCUCCACAGGUGCCCAGUGAUGGAGCCAGAGAUAUCACUGCAUGGCCCCAUCUCCCCUACAGGUGAGUGUCAGUGCUGGGCCCGGAGGUGCCCUCC
rnacentral:lncRNA from 1 species